rnacentral:lncRNA from 1 species
GGCAACGCUGCGGCCCCGCCCACGUCAUGGCGCCUGAGGAGAACGCGGGUACCAAACUCUUGCUGCAGAGUUUCGAGCGCCGCUUCCUAGCGGCGCGCACACUGCGCUCCUUCCCCUGGCAGGUGGGCGGCGGGGCGAGCGGAGAGGCCUGCGGGGCUUGCGGAAGUCCAGGGGCAGACGGGAUGGGUCUCCCUGCUGAAACCCCCGGCGCUCCUGCCACCCCUCGGAAGGCUCGGUCACACUCUCCGAGCACAGCCAUCAUCUCCCACGGUACCACAGGCCUGGUCACAUGGGACGCUGCCCGCUACCUUGCAGAAUGGGCCAUCAAGAACCUGGCAGCCUUCACUAACAGACGUGCUGUAUUGCCCAGAAGCCAUCGUGUCCCUGGUCGGGGUCCUGCGGAGGCUGGCUGCCUGCUGGGAGCACCAGCGGGCUCCUGAGGUCUACAUGGCCUUUACCGUCCGCAACCCAGAGACGUGCCAGGUGUUCACCACCGAGCUAGGCUGGGCUGGGAUCAGAUGGGAAGCGGAAGCUCAUCAUGACCAGAAACUGUUUCCCUAUGGAGAGCACUUGGAGAUGGCAAUGCUGAACCUCACACUGUAGGACUCAUACACGACUCCAACGGGAUUGUUAGAAUCAAAUCACUCUCGUGGGAAGAAUUUUUAUAUGGGAAAGCGGAUAAAACUUUCAUUGGACUGGAAUGUUUGGAGAAUGUUAAAUUCCAAAUCAGGAACCACAAUCUGCCCUCUAAUAAGACAUCGGCUAUCUAAGCAUGUGGGUGCCCCCUUUCUGCCAGCAGUUCUGGUUCUUAAGAAAAUCACCAUAAAUCAGACAUGAAAAUUCUGGCUCCAAAAAUAGCAUUUUCUUUGUGCAAAUAAAAACGUGUGUAUCAAGUA